rnacentral:rRNA from 1 species
GACGAACGCUGGCGGCGUGCCUAAUACAUGCAAGUCGAGCGAGUGAAACUAACAAUCACCCUUCGGGGCGUGCGUUAGAGGAUCUAGCGGCGGACGGGUGAGUAACACGUGGGCAACCUGCCUGUAAGACUGGGAUAACUCGCGGAAACGCGAGCUAAUACCGGAUAACUUUUCGGAUCGCAUGAUCCGAAAUUAAAAGAUGGCUUCGGCUAUCACUUACAGAUGGGCCCGCGGCGCAUUAGCUAGUUGGUGGGGUAAAGGCCUACCAAGGCGACGAUGCGUAGCCGACCUGAGAGGGUGAUCGGCCACACUGGGACUGAGACACGGCCCAGACUCCUACGGGAGGCAGCAGUAGGGAAUCUUCCGCAAUGGACGAAAGUCUGACGGAGCAACGCCGCGUGAGUGAUGAAGGUCUUCGGAUCGUAAAACUCUGUUGUCAGGGAAGAACAAGUGUCGGAGUAACUGCCGGCACCUUGACGGUA